UACAGAGGGGGCAAGCGUUGUUCGGAAUUACUGGGCGUAAAGGGCGCGUAGGCGGCCCCGCUAAGUCGAACGUGAAAUCCCCCGAGCUCAACUCGGGAACUGCGUCCGAUACUGGUGGGCUUGAAUCCGGGAGAGGGAUGCGGAAUUCCCAGGUGUAGCGGUGAAAUGCGUAGAUAUCUGGAGGAACACCGGUGGCGAAGGCGGCAUCCUGGACCGGCAUUGACGCUGAGGCGCGAAAGCUAGGGGAGCAAAC
rnacentral:rRNA from 1 species